ensembl:lncRNA
UUAUGACACUUUUGCAGCAUACUCCAAAAACUAAUGCUAUUUUAUUUUAUUUUUUUCUGCAGGAAUGGUUCAGGCGGGGUACAAUACUCUGAACAACACAACCAUAGCCAUUUACUCACUAGGUGUCCACUUAUUCAUUUUCAGGAAAUUUAGUUGAAGUGGCCUCUCAUUAUCUGAAGUACUAAUUGAACCUAUUUUCCUUUUCGAAGCCUGUCUACCUGCAUUCAUUUUAAAGCAAUAACUCGUGGAUGAGCAACACCACUCACACUGAUGGCUCCACUUAUGCAGUGACCAAAACAGCAGCACAUCCCCACAGUCAGAUCACGAAUCGCCGUGACUUCAUCUCCACGUUAUGCAAUUCAAUCACGGUCAGCUACUGUCAAAAUUGA